UACAUGGGGUGCAAACGUUGCUCGGAAUUAUUGGGCGUAAAGCGCACGUAGGCGGUUUGUUAAGUCGGAUGUGAAAUCCCUCGGCUCAACUGAGGAAGUGCAUCCGAAACUGGCAAGCUUGAGUACGAGAGAGGAUCGCGGAAUUCCCGGUGUAGAGGUGAAAUUCGUAGAUAUCGGGAGGAACACCGGUGGCGAAGGCGGCGAUCUGGGUCGAUACUGACGCUGAGGUGCGAAAGCGUGGGGAGCAAACAGG
rnacentral:rRNA from 1 species